rnacentral:rRNA from 1 species
AAUAGAUACCCGGGUAGUCCACGCCGUAAACGAUGAGUGCUAAGUGUUAGAGGGUUUCUGCCCUUUAGUGCUGAAGUUAACGCAUUAAGCACUCCGCCUGGGGAGUACGGCCGCAAGGCUGAAACUCAAAGGAAUUGACGGGGGCCCGCACAAGCGGUGGAGCAUGUGGUUUAAUUCGAAGCAACGCGAAGAACCUUACCAGGUCUUGACAUCCUCUGACAACCCUAGAGAUAGGGCUUCUCCUUCGGGAGCAGAGUGACAGGUGGUGCAUGGUUGUCGUCAGCUCGUGUCGUGAGAUGUUGGGUUAAGUCCCGCAACGAGCGCAACCCUUGAUCUUAGUUGCCAUCAUUAAGUUGGGCACUCUAAGGUGACUGCCGGUGACAAACCGGAGGAAGGUGGGGAUGACGUCAAAUCAUCAUGCCCCUUAUGACCUGGGCUACACACGUGCUACAAUGGACGGUACAAAGAGCUGCAAGACCGCGAGGUGGAGCUAAUCUCAUAAAACCGUUCUCAGUUCGGA